AAUGGGGGGGGGUCUUUCCACUGGGCGAGUGUUUUUCUUAAUUCAUGAUGUCUUUUCUCUGUGUGAAAUUAAUAAUUAUUUUUAAUCACAUUCAUUAAGAGUGUCAUUACUUAAUUAGCGAGGCCCGAGGCAGCGUAAUUCAGAUUCAGCCGACUACAGUCGACCUCCACACGAAGCUGCGUUCCAGCAGCUCAAAAACAACCAAUGUCACAGUUCUGCUCCAACCUCAGUAACAUCAAAGCCCCCCGCGUUCUCAGAUCCCCGCUCGCGUCAGACUCCGGAGGAAGUGCUCGCCCUCAACGCGGCCGCCAUCAUAGCAAACAUCAAACUCCAACGGCAACUGAGUAAGAAGACAACGCAGCCGGAGACGGAGCGGACCUCUCCACAGGGAGAAGCAGUGACAGAUGAGAGGAAAAGCCCUGAUGGCGGCCUGAGUCGGCCUCCUGCUGGACUCCUGGAUCUGGGCCCUGAGGGGUCACCGGCCCCCGUCUCCCUCCAGGAGGCGCUGCAGAGGUCCAGGCCCGACUUCGUGGCGCGGUCCCAGUGCCGGGUGCGAGAGCUGGAGCGGAGGUCACGGGAGAGAAGGGAAUCGGGACCUCGGACGGGAGCCGUGGAGCAGAGGUGGACCCGCCGCGGCCGCGCCGCCGCCCUCAAAGAGAACGCUUUAAAUCCCAGCGAUGGAGCCGGUAAUGGUGGAGAGAUGCAGCUCGGGUCCAAGCGGCUGCUGGAGGAGGUGACGGGGAAGAAGGAGGACGAGCAGAAGAGCGAGCCGCUUUUGAGCAACCGGCAGAAAGUGGCGCUUUUCAGAAAGAAACUGUUGGAUCACCUCCUUCAAAGGAGCAACAGCUGAAUUAGUGGCGGCGAUGAUGACGAUGAUGAUGAUGAUGAUGCGACGAAGCCUGAAGUGUUCAUGACGGACCGAUGAGCCGGCGUUUUGACCUUUGAGUCUGAUGCUAAGAAAUCAAUGUAGGUCAUGAGACAGCUCUAGUUGACCUUUGACCCUCGCUGGCUUGUCUUGUGUAACGUCGUCCCAUUUGCUGUAUCACUGCCAUAGCUUGUUUUGCUGUUCGCCUCGCAUGUUCUGUCAGAUGCACAAUAAAAAAUGUUGAUAGGCCGCGUCCCA
rnacentral:lncRNA from 1 species